rnacentral:misc_RNA from 1 species
GAAAUGCGAUAAGUAAUGUGAAUUGUAGAAUUCAGUGAAUCAUCGAAUCUUUGAACGCACAUUGCGCCCGCCAGUAUUCUGGCGGGCAUGCCUGUUCGAGCGUCAUUACAACCCUCAGGCCCCCGGGCCUGGCGUUGGGGAUCGGCGGAAGCCCCCUGCGGGCACAACGCCGUCCCCCAAAUACAGUGGCGGUCCCGCCGCAGCUUCCAUUGCGUAGUAGCUAACACCUCGCAACUGGAGAGCGGCGCGGCCACGCCGUAAAACACCCAACUUCUGAAUGUUGACCUCGAAUCAGGUAGGAAUACCCGCUGAACUUAAGC